GUUGUUUCCAGUAUAGUCUGUGCACCUUAUUGGACUGUUUUCGUCGUUUGUUUUGUUUAAGUGUUUUUCCUUCAAUAAAUAAGAAGAUGAUAAAUAUACCCGCUGCAUUUUGGUCCACUCCUGUUGACGACCGUAACAGACGGCUGCGUGGUCCUAUGGGGUUUAUACUUGCGUACUAUUGUUUGCACAGAUGAACGUGGUACCUUCAGGCGUUUGGAAAUUGCUCCCAAGGAUGAACUAGACUUGUGGAAGUCUACAAAUGUUUUUCUGAGGUCUUGGCUGAUUUUGUUCGAUUUUUCCCAUGAUGUCAAGCAAAGAGGCACUGAGUUUGAAGAAACUCCAUACAAUGCCAACCAAGUCUCAGUUCAAGAUGAGCCACAUGUCAACUGUCAAUCAUUCCCAGCCAGGUAUCAUUACCUGAAUCUAUAAAGACUCUGAACUGCAUCGCUGCCUCCGCCUGCUCUUUAACUGGAGUUCCACAGUCGAUGGGCAUCACCAUAACCCUCACCUAAACCUCAAUCAGUUACACAAUAUUGUUCAGUUACAAGAUUGCAACAGGCUAGGAACGAAAGUUUUGUUCACUGUUUCCCUGGGCACCCUUAUUAGGGGAAGACAUGCAGGCAAUGUGUAUGCUCAUGUUCAGGUGAGCGCUUUGUACCUGGAAGGUCGUUUGUGUAUAAGCUAUUGUUGGUGUUGGUUUAUUUCUGUGAGCAACCAUGCUGUCUUGAAGAAAUGUUUGGGGUGUGGUCGAUUUGUUCUGAAUGGUAUCUGUUGAGUUAGACCAUCAUUGAGUUUAUUCAUUUGACAAUAUAAAAGAUGCUGAUUAAUGUAAAGCCACUGCAAUGUCAUUUUGUUUUCAGUUUGUUUGUAAGAGGCUUUGCUGGUUUUGAGAUGCAGGCAGUUUAUUAGCAGUGCCCUCCGAUAAGUUGACUGUCUUUAAGUAAAGUAAUUUUGUAUUUCUAAAAUAUCUAAUGUUUAUGUAAGUGCAGUGGUUAACUGUUUAUUUUCUACCAUCAGAAGUAAUAUUGAUUGUCACUGUUUUUGGUCAUCUGGUGAACUUUGCCAACUGAAUCUCUGUGAAAUCACUGUUGUAUUUCAGAAAGCUAUCUAGUGGAAGUAACAGGCCGUUAAGAAUUUGUUCUUAAACUGACUUGCCUAGUUAAAUAAAAGGUUUAGACAUUUAAAAAAAAAAAUCAUUUAAUGUACUCUUGUUAAUGUGUCAAACAAGCAAACCUAAUCCCCUGAGCUUUAAACGUUGGUUGUUGUCCUGCCUCUGUACUGUUUCCAUUUAAUGGGCUUAGAACCUAUAACGUUUCAGAUGUUACAAUUGUAAUAAAGCAUUUUAUAUUUUUGCCAA
rnacentral:lncRNA from 1 species